CUACCACUGAGUUAAAAGGGC
rnacentral:tRNA from 1 species